AACGAACGCUGGCGGCAUGCCUAACACAUGCAAGUCGAACGAGACCUUCGGGUCUAGUGGCGCACGGGUGCGUAACGCGUGGGAACCUGCCCUUAGGUUCGGAAUAACUCCCCGAAAGGGGUGCUAAUACCGGAUAAUGUCUUCGGACCAAAGAUUUAUCCCUUUGGAUGGGCCCGCGUUGGAUUAGCUAGUUGGUAGGGUAAAAGCCUACCAAGGCGACGAUCCAUAGCUGGUCUGAGAGGAUGAUCAGCCACACUGGGACUGAGACACGGCCCAGACUCCUACGGGAGGCAGCAGUGGGGAAUAUUGGACAAUGGGCGAAAGCCUGAUCCAGCAAUGCCGCGUGAGUGAUGAAGGCCUUAGGGUUGUAAAGCUCUUUUACCCGGGAUGAUAAUGACAGUACCGGGAGAAUAAGCUCCGGCUAACUCCGUG
rnacentral:rRNA from 1 species